UCAAGCUACUAAGGGCUUGUGGUGGAUGCCUUGGCACUGAGAGGCGAUGAAGGACGUGACUACCUGCGAUAAGCAUCGGCGAGCUGGAAGUAAGCUGUGACCCGGUGAUUUCCGAAUGGGACAACCCAUCCGUAAGGAUAUCAUUGGUUGAAUGCAUAGAUCAAUGAGGCGAACGAGGCGAAGUGAAACAUCUCAGUAACCUCAGGAAAAGAAAGCGAAAGCGAUUCCGUAAGUAGUGGCGAGCGAAAGCGGAACAGUCUAAACCACGGGAGCUUGCUCCUGUGGGGUUGUGGGACUUCAAUGUGGGACUUGAACGGUUAGCAGAACAAGCAUGGAAAUCUUGGCCAUAGAGUGUGACAGCCACUUAUGCGAAAACCUGAAGAGCCCUAGAGGUAUCCCAAGUAAUGCGGGACACGUGAAACCCUGCAUGAAUCUGGGCGGACCACCGUCCAAGGCUAAAUACUACUCAGUGACCGAUAGUGAACUAGUACCGUGAGGGAAAGGCGAAAAGAACCCCUGUUAGGGGAGUGAAACAGAACCUGAAACCACAAGCUUACAAGGUGUAGGAGCCUCUUCGGAGGUGACUGCCUGCCUUUUGCAUAAUGAGUCUGCGAGUUGUUAUCUGUGGCAGCCUAAGUCCUUAUGGGACGGAGGCGAAGGGAAACCGAGUGUGAAAUGCGCGCAAGUCGCAGGUGACAGACCCGAAGCGGAGGUGAUCUACUUAUGGCCAGGUUGAAGCUCCGGUAACACGGAGUGAAGGACCGAACCUGUCGGCGUUGAAAAGUCGUGGGAUGAGCUGUGAGUAGGAGCGAAAGACUAAUCAAACCCUGUGAUAGCUGGUUCUCUCCGAAAUAGCUUGAGGGCUAGCGUCAUGUGCUGACUCGCGGGGGUAGAGCACUGGAUGGACUAGGGCCCAUACCCGGGUACCAAACCCAAUCAAACUCCGAAUACCGCGAGGUGUAACAUGGCAGUCAGGCUGCGGGGGAUAAGCUCCGUAGUCGAGAGGGAAACAACCCAGACCACCAGCUAAGGUGCCCAAAUAUGAUUAAGUGGAAAGGAUGUGAAGUUGCUUAGACAAUGAGGAUGUUGGCUUAGAGGCAGCCACCAUUUAAACAAUGCGUAAUAGCUGACUCAUCGAGCGAUUUUGCGCCGAAAAUGAUUGGCGAUUAAAUCAUAUACCGACGCUGUGGAUCCUGCUUGCAGGAUGGUAGGAGAGCGUAAUCAGUGCAGUGAAGAUUGACGGAAACGGAGAUUGGAGCGCUGGUUAGUGAGAAUGCAGACACAAGUAGCGAUAAACCAGGUGAGAAUCCUGGUCGCCGUAAACCCAAGGUUUCCUGGGCCCGGUUCGUCCCCCCAGGGUUAGUCGGGAGCUAAGGCGAGGCCGUAAGGCGUAGUCGAUGCACAUCAGGCUAAUAUUCCUGAACCCGGAUGGGCUAAGGCUGGAACUGACGCAGCGAGAAAAGUGACCAAGUCAUCGAAAGACAGAGCCUAGGCUUCGGCCGAAGCGAAUCACUGGACAAGCUGUCUAGAAAAGGUUCCUUCCGUUUUCCAUCCGGCCCGUACCGUAAACCGACACAGGUGGGUGGGUGUAAAUGCACCAAGGCGCGCGAGCUAAACCUCUCUAAGGAACUCGGCAAAUUGACCCCGUAACUUCGGAAUAAGGGGUGCCUGAGCAAUCAGGUUACAAUAAAUAGCUCUUCGCGACUGUUUAACAAAAGCACAGCACUCUGCAAAGUCGUUAAGACGACGUAUAGGGUGUGACACGUGACCAAUGCGGAAAGAUUAAGGUGGGUGGUGCAAGCUCUCUGCCGAAGUCCCCGUGAAUGUCGGCCGUAACUAUAACGGUCCUAAGGUAGCGAAAUUCCUUGUCGGGUAAGUUCCGACCUGCACGAAUCGUGUAACGAUGGAGAGACUGUCUCGGAGAGGUACUCGGCGAAACUGUAAUGGCGGUGAAGAUGCCGCCUGCCCGCAGAAGGACGGAAAGACCCUAUGCACCUUUACUAUAAGCUGGUAUUGUGUUCUGGUUAAGAAUGCGUAGCGUAGGUGGGAGACUGUGAAGCAGGGAUUUAGGUUUCUGUGGAGUCGCAAUGUGAAACACCACUCUUUUUUAAUUAGGAUUCUAACCGCGAUCCCAUUAGCUGGGCGCGGGACAGUGCUUGCGGGUUAGUUUGGCUGGGGCGGCUUCCUCCCAAAGAGUAACGGAGGAGUGCGAAGCUUGGCUCAGCAUGGUUGGCAACCAUGCGUCGAGGAUAUGGCUAGAAGCCAGGUUUACUGUGAGACCUACAAGUCGAGCAGUUGCGAAAGCAGGCCCAAAUGAUCCGGCGGUUGAAUGUGGAAUUGCCGUCGCUCAACGGACAAAAGGUACGCUAGGGAUAACAGGCUGAUCGCGC
rnacentral:rRNA from 1 species